rnacentral:tRNA from 1 species
UGGGGGAUCGUUCAACGGUAGGACAGUGGACUCUGACUCCACGAAUCUAGGUUCGAAUCCUGGUCCCCCAGCCA